AUUGAACGCUGGCGGCAGGCCUAACACAUGCAAGUCGAGCGGAUGAAGGGAGCUUGCUCCUGGAUUCAGCGGCGGACGGGUGAGUAAUGCCUAGGAAUCUGCCUGGUAGUGGGGGAUAACGUCCGGAAACGGGCGCUAAUACCGCAUACGUCCUGAGGGAGAAAGUGGGGGAUCUUCGGACCUCACGCUCUCAGAUGAGCCUAGGUCGGAUUAGCUAGUUGGUGGGGUAAAGGCCUACCAAGGCGACGAUCCGUAACUGGUCUGAUAGGAUGAUCAGUCACACUGGAACUGAGACACGGUCCAGACUCCUACGGGAGGCAGCAGUGGGGAAUAUUGGACAAUGGGCGAAAGCCUGAUCCAGCAAUGCCGCGUGUGUGAAGAAGGUCUUCGGAUUGUAAAGCACUUUAAGUGGGGAGGAAGGGCAGUAAGUUAAUACCUUGCUGUUUUGACGUUACCAACAGAAUAAGCACCGGCUAACUUCGUG
rnacentral:rRNA from 1 species